GGUGCUGUGGCGCAGCGGUUUAACGCCCUGGCCUGAAGCGCCGGCAUCCCAUAUGGGCACCGGUUCUAGUCCCGACAGCUCCU
rnacentral:tRNA from 1 species